CCUACGGGAGGCAGCAGUGAGGAAUAUUGGUCAAUGGCCGAGAGGCUGAACCAGCCAAGUCGCGUGAGGGAAGACGGCCCUACGGGUUGUAAACCUCUUUUGUCGGGGAGCAAAGCCAGUCACGUGUGACUCAUUGAGAGUACCCGAAGAAAAAGCAUCGGCUAACUCCGUGCCAGCAGCCGCGGUAAUACGGAGGAUGCGAGCGUUAUCCGGAUUUAUUGGGUUUAAAGGGUGCGCAGGCGGCGGUGUAAGUCAGCGGUCAAAGUGCGGGGCUCAACCCCGUACUGCCGUUGAAACUGCAUGGCUUGAGUGCGAGAGAAGUACGCGGAAUGCGUGGUGUAGCGGUGAAAUGCAUAGAUAUCACGCAGAACUCCGAUUGCGAAGGCAGCAUACCGGCGCGACACUGACGCUCAUGCACGAAAGCGUGGGUAUCGAACAGGAUUAGAUACCCUGGUAGUC
rnacentral:rRNA from 1 species